GACGAACGCUGGCGGCGUGCCUAAUACAUGCAAGUCGAACGCAGUGGGGACGGGUGAGUAACACGUGGGUAACCUCCCAUCAGAGGGGAUAACACUUGGAAACAGGUGCUAAACCGAUACUGAUGGAUGGACCCGCGGUGCAUUAGCUAGUUGGUGAGGUAACGGCUCACCAAGGCGACGAUCCGUAGCUGGUUUGAGAGGCUUGUCAGCCACACUGGAACUGAGACACGGCCCAGACUCCCACGGGAGGCAGGAGUGGGGAAUAUUGCACAAGUGGCGCAAGCCUGAUGCAGCCAUGCCGCGGGUAUGAAGAAGGGCUUAGGGUUGUAAAGUACUUUCAGCGGGGAGGCGUUACCCGCAGAAGAAGCACCGGCUAACUCCGUGCCAGCAGCCGCGGUAAUAC
rnacentral:rRNA from 1 species